ACGUUUCUUUUAUGUUUGGAUUAGAUUCUUAGAUUUACGAUUUUAGCGGAGUCUCCUAUGAAAUUCGAUCUGGUCUUACGUCUCUCAUCGAUUAGGGUUUCUAAUUCGUGUCCUCAGAUUUGAACUUUUUUUAGGGUUAUAUGAUAUGAAUCUGUUGUGAAAACAGGGGAAAACAAAAAUGGCAGCAGCAACAUCAGCAGCAUCUCUGUUUUCAACUGUUUCUUCUUACUCCUCUAAACCCAGUUCCUUACCACAUUCAAGACUCCAAGCUGUGAAAUUUAACUCAGUCC
rnacentral:lncRNA from 1 species